GACGGUCCCUCAGUGAUGGGAGGUGGUGGAUCAUCUGGACAGACCCAGGAUCAGAAUGUGACGGAUCAGCUGGACUGAAGAGGGUCUAGGACAGGUGACCGAAGGCCACACUCACACGUGGACAGUUUCAGAUAAACAAGUGUGAGUAAAGAUGGAGGGGGGGCCUGGAAACAACCCCCCCAGACCGGCCCAAAGACCCCCGAGAAGAACUAAGGUUCAAAGGAAAAGAAGAAGAAGAAAUGAAAGGAGGAAGAAGAACCCGUCAAACUGUGAAGGAGACGAUCAAAGUCCGAAUGAAGUGAAAAGCAGCCGAGCGGACGGAGACGUCGAACCAGAAACACAACCAUCUGAAACCAACGAAGAAGAACAGCUCAAAAAACCAAAGAUGGCCGCGGCGACCACUCAGACGCAGAAAUGUAAAAGACGAAACAGAACGACGCAAACGCACAUAGUGGUUCAGAAAGAUGAGGAAACUCAGACAGACUUCCACGUCUGCAA